CCUACGGGAGGCUGCAGUGGGGAAUAUUGCACAAUGGGGGGAACCCUGAUGCAGCGACGCCGCGUGAGUGAAGAAGUAUUUCGGUAUGUAAAGCUCUAUCAGCAGGGAAGAAAAUGACGGUACCUGACUCAGAAGCCCCGGCUAACUACGUGCCAGCAGCCGCGGUAAUACGUAGGGGGCCAGCGUUAUCCGGAUUUACUGGGUGUAAAGGGAGCGUAGACGGUUAUGCAAGUCUGAAGUGAAAGCCAAAGGCUCAACCAUGGGACUGCUUUGGAAACUGUAAAACUGGAGUGCAGGAGAGGUAAGCGGAAUUCCUAGUGUAGCGGUGAAAUGCGUAGAUAUUAGGAGGAACACCAGUGGCGAAGGCGGCUUACUGGACUGUAACUGACGUUGAGGCUCGAAGGCGUGGGGAGCAAACAGGAUUAGAUACCCUGGUAGUC
rnacentral:rRNA from 1 species